CCUUACCUGGGCUUGACAUGUUCCCGACAGCCGUAGAGAUAUGGCCUCCUUCGGGGCGGGUUCACAGGUGGUGCAUGGUCGUCGUCAGCUCGUGUCGUGAGAUGUUGGGUUAAGUCCCGCAACGAGCGCAACCCUCGCCCUGUGUUGCCAGCACGUCAUGGUGGGAACUCACGGGGGACCGCCGGGGUCAACUCGGAGGAAGGUGGGGAUGACGUCAGAUCAUCAUGCCCCUUACGUCCAGGGCUUCACGCAUGCUACAAUGGCCGGUACAACGGGAUGCGACACGGCGACGUGGAGCGGAUCCCUGAAAACCGGUCUCAGUUCGGAUUGGAGUCUGCAACCCGACUCCAUGAAGGCGGAGUCGCUAGUAAUCGCGGA
rnacentral:rRNA from 1 species